rnacentral:rRNA from 1 species
AUCGGCAGCCAUAUCGCCCUGUAGCCCAAGACUGGUUGCCCACUGAAGCUAAGCAGGGCUGAGCCUGGUCAGUACCGGGAUGGGAGACCUCCUGGGAAAACUAGGUUGCUGCUGGAA